rnacentral:rRNA from 1 species
GUUGGCCUCGGAUCAGGUGGGGAUACCCGCUGAACUUAAGCAUAUCAAUAAGCGGAGGAAAAGAAACCAACAGGGAUUGCCUCAGUAACGGCGAGUGAAGCGGCAACAGCUCAAAUUUGAAAUCUGGCGCAAGCCCGAGUUGUAAUUUGCAGAGGAUGUUUCGGGUGAAGCCACGGUCCAAGUCCCUUGGAACAGGACGUCAUAGAGGGUGAGAACCCCGUACCUGGCCGUCGGUGCCCCCCGCUGUGAAACUCCUUCGACGAGUCGAGUUGUUUGGGAAUGCAGCUCUAAAUUGGUGGUAAAUUCCAUCUAAAGCUAAAUACCGGCCAGAGACCGAUAGCGCACAAGUAGAGUGAUCGAAAGAUGAAAAGCACUUUGAAAAGAGAGUUAAAAAGUACGUGAAAUUGUUGAAAGGGAAGCGCUUGCGGCCAGACUUGCCCGCGGUUGCUCAGCCCGCCUUUUGGCGGGUGCACUCUUCCGCGGUCAGGCCAGCAUCGGUUUGGGCGGUCGGAUAAAGGCGUUGGGAACGUGGCCUCCCCUCGGGGAGGUGUUAUAGCCCGGCGCGCAAUGCGACCAGCCCGGACCGAGGUUCGCGCUUUGCUAGGAUGCUGGCGUAAUGGCCGUAAGCGGCCCGUCUUGAAACACGGACCAAGGAGUCUAACAUCUAUGCGAGUGUUUGGGUGUCAAACCCGUGCGCGUAAUGAAAGUGAACGGAGGUGGGAACCGCAAGGUGCACCAUCGACCGAUCCUGAUGUCUUCGGAAGGAUUUGAGUAAGAGCAUAGCUGUUGGGACCCGAAAGAUGGUGAACUAUGCGUGAAUAGGGUGAAGCCAGAGGAAACUCUGGUGGAGGCUCGCAGCGGUUCUGACGUGCAAAUCGAUCGUCAAAUUUGCGUAUAGGGGCGAAAGACUAAUCGAACCAU